rnacentral:rRNA from 1 species
ACAAUGGAGAGUUUGAUCCUGGCUCAGGAUGAACGCUAGCGGCAGGCCUAAUACAUGCAAGUCGAACGGUGAUAGCAAUAUCAUAGUGGCGCACG